rnacentral:rRNA from 1 species
UACGGAGGGUGCAAGCGUUGUCCGGAAUCACUGGGCGUAAAGGGCGCGUAGGCGGCUCGGUAAGUAGGGGGUGAAAUCCUGCGGCUCAACCGCAGGGCUGCCUUCUAAACUGUCGAGCUCGAGCACGGUAGAGGCAGAUGGAAUUCCCGGUGUAGCGGUGGAAUGCGUAGAGAUCGGGAAGAACACCGGUGGCGAAGGCGGCCUGCUGGGCAGUGGCUGACACUGAGGCGCGAAAGCUAGGGGAGCAAACGGG